UCUGGAAGCCGAACUAGAGACCAACAAACUUAAACUGUAACUAUUUGUCACGGGUAGACAGCGUGUUGUUAUCAGCGCCAUUGAAGAGUAACCACACCAGCAUGUAGCUGGACCGAAUGUGGCAUUUGCAGUAGAUGUCACUGCAGUUCCACCACCAGCCAGGUGAGCGGUCGGAUUGCAAUGCAUCGUGGGACAGCAGUUGUUCGCAGAAGAGUACUCCGAUGGGCCAACAUCACUAAACAUGGUCAAGAAGUUGUCAUACAGACACCCUAUACCUGUCAGGUCGGGCCAUCAUCGGGCUGAAACAUCAUUUGUGCUCUGCAUAAUACUGUUUUCACAUGCAGGACCAACUGUAUCUUACCCCUUAGGUUGAUCAGCUUAACUUAGCAGCUGCAUGCUCAUUGUCAAAUCAGAUGCUCUAUUUAAAUGUUCUAAUUAAUCAUGCUGGUACAGUUGCAUCAGUGUUGAGUUUGCA